CACACGUCCACAUGGAAGCGGAGCAACUGGAUGUGGGAAGCACUCGGAGCCAUUACACGACGUGAAGAGAGGCUAGCAACCCUAAAGAAGAAGUGGGGAAAAACCAAAGAAGGAGGGGACGCGCAUGACGACGCAAAACGGCAGUGGGGAA